rnacentral:rRNA from 1 species
UACGUAGGUGGCAAGCGUUGUCCGGAAUUAUUGGGCGUAAAGCGCGCGCAGGCGGUCCUUUAAGUCUGAUGUGAAAGCCCACGGCUCAACCGUGGAAGGUCAUUGGAAACUGGGGGACUUGAGUACAGAAGAGGAAAGCGGAAUUCCACGUGUAGCGGUGAAAUGCGUAGAGAUGUGGAGGAACACCAGUGGCGAAGGCGGCUUUCUGGUCUGUAACUGACGCUGAGGCGCGAAAGCGUGGGGAGCAAACAGG